rnacentral:rRNA from 1 species
UACGUAGGGGGCAAGCGUUGUCCGGAUUUAUUGGGCGUAAAGCGCGCGCAGGCGGUUCUUUAAGUCUGGUGUCUAAGUGCGGGGCUCAACCCCGUGACGCACUGGAAACUGGGGGACUUGAGUGCAGAAGAGGAGAGCGGAAUUCCACGUGUAGCGGUGAAAUGCGUAGAGAUGUGGAGGAACACCAGUGGCGAAGGCGGGUUGCUGGGCUGACACUGACGCUGAUGCGCGAAAGCCAGGGGAGCGAACGGG